AAUAUUGGACAAUGGGGGGAACCCUGAUCCAGCCAUUCCGCGUGUGUGAAGAAGGUCUUCGGCCUGUAAAGCACUUUAAGUUGGGAGGAAGAGUUGUAGGCUAAUACCUUGUAUUUUUGACGUUACCAACAGAAUAAUCACCGGUUAACUACGUGCCAGCAGCCGUGGUAAUACGAUGGGUGCAAGCGUUAAUCGGAAUUACUGGGCGUAAAGCGCGCGUAGGUGGUUCGUUAAGUUGGAAGUGAAAGCCCCGGGCUUAACCUGGGAAUUGCUUUCAAAACUGACGAGAUAGAGUACGGUAGAGGGUAGUGGAAUUUCCUGUGUAGCGGUGAAAUGCGUAGAUAUAGGAAGGAACAUCAGUGGCGAAGGCGACUACCUGGACUGAUACUGACACUGAGGUGCGAAAGCGUGGGGAGCAAACAG
rnacentral:rRNA from 1 species